UUGACCCAUCAUGUCCUGGGAUGGCUCAUGAAUGGAAGAUUCCUGAUGUUAAAAAACCCUACUGUGAACGGCAACCCCCUACCCCACCCCCUACCCUACCUACCCCACCUACCCUACCUACCCCUACGCCUCCAACCUGCCCGUCAGGAAAGACAUCAAUCUGUGACAUCAUACUUAGCCCGGUCUUUAAGCAAUGCCAUGACGUUAUCCCACAACAACCCUUCUUCGAGGCCUGUAAGUUUGAUGUCUGCCACAUGCCAAAUAUCUCAAUCGGUUGCUCCAGCCUGGAAGCCUACGCUGUUAGGUGUGCAGCAGCUGGAGUCUGUAUCGACUGGAGGACAUCAACUAAUGGAACAUGUGCUUGAUCAUAUUAACAGAACUGACAUGCCUUAAGACCAAAGUGUAUAAGGCUUGUGGCUCUACUAUCCAGCCAACAUGCAAUUCAAGGCACUUUAAUCAGUCACUGUGACGUGAAGAACACCACCACCUACCUCGAGGUGAAUAACUGCAGGUCCUCUGUGCCGGUGCAAAUCUCAGCCUGCCGGGGAUCCUGUGGAACAUCUUCUAUGUACUCUGCAGAGAAAAACACCCUGAUGCACUCCUGCUCCUGCUGUCAAGAGAUGUCGACCAGUGAGAGGAAGGUGGAGAUGGUCUGCCCAGAUGGGAAGAAGAUCAUGCAGUCCUACAUUUACAUUGAUAAGUGUGGCUGCCAUGACUCUGAGUGUGACAAGAAGAACCACUUAGAUUAGGCCUUGAUGAAUGAAGUCUUUUGAAGUGUUCUUAUUUACCUGCAUGGAAUAUUCAAUAGUUUUAUCUAAAGGGAACCAAUAGGGUCUGUCUCAUUAUCAUAUAGGCUACUUUCAUGAACUGUAUGUUCUUUCUCUCUACACUAUCAUAGACAUUAUGCAAACCUAUUAAACUGAUGAAGAAGCAUGAA